UUAUUUACUCGUGGAUGAAGUAACAAAUGUUUUACCUGAAUACUCACAGAAGUAAAAAAGAAUAUUUAAUAAAAAUUUCUACUUAUUAGAAAACUUAUGUGUGGACGUAAUAAUAACCUGACAAAUAUUUAUUACGCUAAAGAGCUUCUGUCAUAUCUGAAGCAUCGUCAUUUAAAACACGUGUGGCAAGAAUUUAUAAAUCGCCCUGCUGAACAGCAGCUACUAGAAGAGGUGGCAACUUUAGCUGCACAAUGGUUUCAGCCGGACAAAAAUAUCUCUUAUUUGCAUAUAGAAAGCCACCUGGAUAAAAUCGCACAACAGGUAAUGGAGCAUCUUAAAAGUGUGAAUCCCAAUCAUCCGAUAUUCUUGGCAUUGCGUGAACAAUUCUUGUUUUGGAAAUGCCAUAAUAUCGAUGAAAAUCACUGGGACAACAGCGAUGGAAGACAAAUUCUAGAUAGUCUUUGCAAGAUAUUAUUUUUUGAACUAAACUUCCGUGCAGUUGGAUAUGGUGAGAUAGGAAGACGACGCACAGCACAUGCAUUCAUACAUUCCGUCUUAGAGAUGAAAGUUGGUAAAGCACUACCGCUGGCAAUCAUAUUCCAGAGUGUUGCAAGAAGACUUGGCAUACGCUGUGAUCUACUAUCUUUUCCUGUAAUUUUAGCUAAUAGCUGGGGCUACAGUUAUUGGUUAUUAAGAUGGAAACCAAAAUGGAAUCUAAAUCCUAAUGACGAAGAAUGCUUUUAUAUCAAUGUCUUACAUCGUGGAAUCAUUCUAGAUAAUAACUGGUCCAGAAUUUGUGAGGUUGCAAAAUGUACCAUACGUUCUGAUAGCUAUUGCAGAGUAAAUACCUUCGAGCUCCUACUAGAAAUAAGUUACUAUUAUGCUGUAUCAGUAGAUUGUUUUUUGGAGGCAACGAUUGUUAGAAGUUUUAAAGGCGUCGCAUACGUGACUGAUAAAAUUUGUUGGUUUUCGAGGCUUCUAGAUCUGAUAAAACGAGAGAAGGGAUACCUGACGACCUUCGAGUUUUAUAUAAGAGACAAGGACACUAUAUUGAAAUUUAUACAACGAGUGCAAAAGGUUCAAUCUAAUGCACUCAAUGAAAAGGGAUGGACCAAGUUAGCACGAGAUACAGUAACUGGGAUGGUAUCUGUGGUAUGUAAAAAAGACAAAUGCAGACUCAAACGAAAGAAGAGAAAGGCUGGAAUGAAAUUCGCAGUUGGAAUGAUCGUGAGAAUUCUCUCUUCGAAUAAAAUAGGCGUGAUAAUCAGAUGGGAGAAGUUAGAAUUGAGCUUGAGAACCAAGAAAUCAUCUUUAUACUACACAGUCCUUUGCGACUGCAAGAAGACACAUUGUGUCCCCGAAGAGAAUUUAAGAAGAGUAGUUAAGAGUAUACGGAUACCUAUAAACACCGACAUAACCGGCAUAUAUUUUUCUACAUUCAAAGCUAAGCUGGUUUAGAUAUCGGCCUAAUGAGGUCAGCAAACGGCUCAAUCGACCAUUCUACAAUUUAUUAUAAAAUAGGAGCAACACGUAAUUCGAAGAUGUUUUAAAACGCAGAAAGUUACAAUUGUAGAAUAACGAUGUUAAGGCGAUGAGAUAGCGGAGAAUCGUGAUUAAUUCGGUAUUACAUCGAUGCGGUUGGUCUUGCGGUUUGGUCAGUAUCGCAACGAUGCCGGACGUUUAUCGAUGUACACAGCUGGCAUUUUGACGGCGCACGACUGAAAUCGAAUGACUAGUUUAACGCCUCGAGCGUUAAUGCGCUUAAUGUAUGUAAUCAAUUGAUUGGUCGUCUUCCUUAAUCUUAAAUUUUAUUUUAAGCAAAUAACGAAUAUUUCUAGAAGAUUUCUAAUUGAAUAUUUCUAUAAGAAUUCUAAUAUAUCUAUAUAUGUAUAUAUAUACUAUCUAUUAUUGUUUUUGUAUGUACAAAAAAAUCAAAUUUGUAUUCGUUGAAAUUUUCCAUUAGAAAAUCCCGCAGGAGUUAACCGCUGUCAUCGACCGAUCACGAUGCAGCAUCACCUUCGACCUUGUCGAUCAUGGACAGACGAUCACGACGUAUAAACGGGCGGGGAAGGACACGGGGUGCUAAUAACGUUAGCAAAUGUUGCGCCGCUAUUUCCGAUGUCCCUGCAUGCAAUCUCAUAUCUGCAACGGCUCAAUAUAUCGAAACGUAUAUGUCGGACAUUGCUAACUGGACGCAAUCGUUCUGAAAGCGAGACGAUCAUAUGAUAGCGAUAUCUCGGAGCAGAUAACGCGUGUAACAUCGGGGUUUCUUUGCAAAUUAUCGCAUCAAUAAUCUCACGAUGAUUCGUCAAACGAUUCAUAAUUCAUAAUUUAUCCAAUCAACACAAAGAACUUCCUGCUAUAUUAAUAUUACUAAUAUUAAUAUUAAUAUAACUAAUACUAAUAUUACUAAAAAA
rnacentral:misc_RNA from 1 species